AGGCAAAGUCUGUAAAAUGUGCUUGAUGC
rnacentral:piRNA from 1 species